rnacentral:siRNA from 1 species
GCCGCAUGUGAUUGCUCCCAAGC